GAUGAACGCUAGCUACAGGCUUAACACAUGCAAGUCGAGGGGUCUUUUGGAGCUUGCUUUAAAAGACGACCGGCGCACGGGUGAGUAACGCGUAUCCAACCUGCCCUUCAUAUUGGGAUAGCCUUCCGAAAGGAAGAUUAAUACCGAAUAACAUGAUAGAGUUGCCUGAUUUUAUCAUGAAAGCUCCGGCGAUGAAGGAUGGGGAUGCGUUCCAUUAGGUAGUAGGCGGGGUAACGGCCUACCUAGCCGACGAGGGAUAGGGGUUCUGAGAGGAAGGUCCCCCACACUGGAACUGAGACACGGUCCAGAUUCCUACGGGAGGCAGCAGUGAGGAAUAUUGGUCAAUGGGCGCAAGCCUGAACCAGCCAAGUAGCGUGAAGGAUGACUGCCCUAUGGGUUGUAAACUUCUUUUAUACGGGAACAAACCCUGGUACGUGUACCAGAUUGCGUGUACCGUAUGAAUAAGCAUCGGCUAACUCCGUGCCAGCCGCCGCUGGUAACAC
rnacentral:rRNA from 1 species